GUAUAGAGGGUGAAUUCUGCCCAAUGGUUGUAUAGUGAAACUGAGGACUAACGUCUAAAGCGAAACCCAGCUGAAUGGCCGCGGUAACUCUGACCGUGAUAAUGUAGCACAAUAAAUAGCCAAUUAAUUGUUGGCGGGUAUGAAUGGGACCACGAGGGUCUUACUGUCUCAAGAGGAAAGCCGAUGAAAUUAUAGUUGUAGUGAAGAUACUACAUAAACAUUGUAAGACGAAAAGACCCUAUCGAGCUUUACUGGAUACCGACAGUGUUAACUUAAAAUGAUCGAUACUAAGUGUCCUAAUUUAGAGUUAAUAAUUUUUGUUGGUGGGACAGUUUAGUUGGGGCGACUACCUUUGAAUAAGAAACGAAGGCGAGCUUAUGGUAUACAAAGCUAAUCUCAUUAGCCUGACAGUGAGGGGGACACCCCUAGCUGGCACAAGGACUUCGUCCUAUGUGGGCGAUAAUGACCCGAUAUGAUAUCCAAAAUAAAUAUCGAAAGCGGAUAAAAGCUACCGUAGGGAUAACAGCGUAAUAUUGUCGGAGAGUUCUUAUCGAGGACAGUGUUUGCGACCUCGAUGUUGAAUUGCGGUGUCCCUGGUGCUGUAGGAGGUACCUUGGUUGGUC
rnacentral:rRNA from 1 species